GACGAACGCUGGCGGCGUGCUUAACACAUGCAAGUCGAACGGUGAAGCGCCUUCCUUUUUGGUGGGUGUGGAUGAGUGGCGAACGGGUGAGUAACACGUGAGUAACCUGCCCCCUUCUUCUGGAUAACCGCAUGAAAGUGUGGCUAAUACGGGAUAUUCUGGGUCUGUCGCAUGAUGGGUCUGGGAAAGAUAUUGUUUCGGUGGGGGAUGGGCUCGCGGCCUAUCAGCUUGUUGGUGGGGUGAUGGCCUACCAAGGCGGUGACGGGUAGCCGGCCUGAGAGGGUGGACGGUCCCACUGGGACUGCGACCCGGCCCCGACUCCUACGGGAGGCAGCAGUGGGGAAUAUUGCACAAUGGGCGCAAGCCUGAUGCAGCGACGCCGCGUGAGGGAUGGAGGCCUUCGGGUUGUGAACCUCUUUCGCCAGUGAAGCAGGCCUGCCUCGUUUGCGGGUGGGUUGACGGUAGCUGGAGAAGAAGCGCCGGCUAACUACGUG
rnacentral:rRNA from 1 species